rnacentral:rRNA from 1 species
GACGAACGCUGGCGGCGUGCCUAAUACAUGCAAGUUGAGCGAUGAAGAUUGGUGCUUGCACCAAUUUGAAGAGCAGCGAACGGGUGAGUAACGCGUGGGGAAUCUGCCUUUGAGCGGGGGACAACAUUUGGAAACGAAUGCUAAUACCGCAUAAUAACUUUAAACAUAAGUUUUAAGUUUGAAAGAUGCAAUUGCAUCACUCAAAGAUGAUCCCGCGUUGUAUUAGCUAGUUGGUGAGGUAAAGGCUCACCAAGGCGAUGAUACAUAGCCGACCUGAGAGGGUGAUCGGCCACAUUGGGACUGAGACACGGCCCAAACUCCUACGGGAGGCAGCAGUAGGGAAUCUUCGGCAAUGGACGAAAGUCUGACCGAGCAACGCCACGUGAGUGAAGAAGGUUUUCGGAUCGUAAAACUCUGUUGGUAGAGAAGAACGUUGGUGAGAGUGGAAAGCUCAUCAAGUGACGGUAACUACACAGAAAGGGACGGCUAACUACGUG